rnacentral:lncRNA from 1 species
GUUCUCCUCUGUUUUCUACACUGCCGCGCGACUCUCCGACCGCGUCUGUCUUCACCUCCGUGAAGCCGUCGACGCAUACAUCUUGUGAAGCCCGAUCGCCGCGUCAGAUCGUCGAUCGAUUUUGAGGCAGCUGCCACGUCUCCUUUGGCCGACCGCUGACCGACCCACACUUAGGAUUUUUGCUGCGAGUUCGACAGUCGUGCGUUGAGGUGUGCUGCUGUCUCUUUUUUACAAUUGUAUCGAGGUUGCUUUGUUGGUAAUAACUUAAGUAUGAAUGGUAAUUGGUUUCAAAGUGGUUCAAGUGUUAUGGUUGGAAUGUUUAGCUAAUUUGUAAAUUGGUUCUUGAAGGUGUUGGGAGUAACGUUGGGCCCCCUUAAAUUCACAACCAAUUUGUGAAUUGUUGAGGG